rnacentral:rRNA from 1 species
AUUGAACGCUGGCGGCAUGCCUUACACAUGCAAGUCGAACGGCAGCGCGGGGCAACCUGGCGGCGAGUGGCGAACGGGUGAGUAAUAUAUCGGAACGUGCCCUGGAGUGGGGGAUAACGUAGCGAAAGUUACGCUAAUACCGCAUACGAUCUACGGAUGAAAGUGGGGGAUCGCAAGACCUCAUGCUCGUGGAGCGGCCGAUAUCUGAUUAGCUAGUUGGUAGGGUAAAGCCUACCAAGGCAUCGAUCAGUAGCUGGUCUGAGAGGACGACCAGCCACACUGGAACUGAGACACGGUCCAGACUCCUACGGGAGGCAGCAGUGGGGAAUUUUGGACAAUGGGCGCAAGCCUGAUCCAGCAAUGCCGCGUGAGUGAAGAAGGCCUU